ACAAGUUGCCUUCUAGUAUUCAUAUUUCCAUGGUGCAAUAGUGACGUUGAACUUUUUCGCAAAACACGUCAUGGCUGUUUAUAAGUUAGUUGCAGAAUAUGCGUCUAAGACCGAAGUAGAAUUGAUUUUGUAGCAGUGUUUGCUGCAUUUCGUUGACGUGUUUACUCAUGCAACUUCGCAACAAAGGUUAAAAUGAUUCACUUCGGCACUGGGGCCACUGGAGCAGUACCACCGGCACCAUGAAAGACCUAACUUUACCGAAAUUUAUAAAAGUUGGAGACAAAGCAAGUGGUGAAGAAAUAUCCUUUUAAUGUAAACCACUGGAACUUUGAAUCUGCCCAAAAAUAUAAAGCAGAUGAUACUGAUAUGUUUGUUUGUUCAUACUCCAAAACUGGAACUACCUGGCUAAUAAAAAAACGUUGUGUGGCUGAUUUUACAUCAUGGAACAGAAGUCCCAGGACCAUACAGAAAUAGCAUUCCAAUUCUAUAGCUUGAUGGUUCCGAAGCCCCAGGCCAGAAUCGAUUGGAAACAGUGAAUUCCCAUGCAUAAUCAAAACACAUUUCCAUACAACUUUAUGCAAAUUAAUCCCAAUACGAAGUAUUUAUAUAUCGCAAGAAACUCAAAGGAUGCUUUCGUUUCAUUUUAUUUUCAUAUCAGAGGAUGUGAAAAAACUUAUGGAACAAAUAAUCCUGAUAUAAACAAGCUGUAUGAUCAGUACAUGAAUAGAGAAGUACAGUUUAAUUGUUACUUUGAUCAUUUAAACGAACAGUACAGUCAUCGAAAUGAUCCCAAUGUUUUAUUCUUGUUGUAUGAAGAUAUAAAGCAAGACCCAAGAAAUGGUAUUUUAAAAGUAGCAACAAUUCUUGGAAAAAAAUAUAAGAAACUAUUGAAGAAAGAAAAUGAAAAACUGAUAAAAAGUGCUAGAGCUUAGUAGUGAACAUAUGAAGAGUAGAAACAUUUGGGAACACCCAGAAAAUGAACCGUUUAUUCGUAAAGGAGUAAUCGGUGAUUGGAAGAAUCAUUUAAGUGCAGAGCAAGCUGAUGGUUUGGAUCGUGCGCUUAUGGAGCAUGGGAAAGAUGGUGGAAUUUUAAAAUUAUGGAACAAAUAUGCAGAAUUUCUUUGAUGAUUUCUUCUAAAUGUAUUUUUUUAAAUAAUCAGACUUUAUGUUUUGGAUUCCAACAUCUGGAUUUAAUGCUCUAUUAACUUUCUGUGCAAUCACUUGAUCAUGACUCGUAAAAUCAUAGUUUGCUGCUAAUAAAGCAGUUUGAAAUUAUACUGAUGAUUUACUUUGUUUGAACUGCCUACAACCUUUUCUUGUAAAUUGUUUCAUGACGUUUCAACUGGAGUAGUUUGUUGACUUUGGCAGUGAUAUUGAGAGAAGUACUUUGUUUUUUCACUCCAUUAUUUUCUUAAUUACUUGUAACUGCAUUGUCAAGAUCACGUCAUGAGUACACCUUUUGGGAUGCAA